AGCCGGGUGUUGGUCAAUAUUAUA
rnacentral:siRNA from 1 species